rnacentral:lncRNA from 1 species
GCGAGCGUGCAAGUUUUGCAUUCCACCGCGCUUUGUUUAAGCGGAAUAGUUGACAUUCCGGGCGUUUCGGUAUAGUUUUCUUGUAGGGCCUGCUGCGGAAUAUUGUUGAUUUCGAUCCAACAUCUUGUUGCGAGCAGACCAUCUAUUACGAGCGCUUACACUCUCCACUUUUAUUGAAAUUUUGAGAGAGGCUCCCUAUACUGCAGUAGAAUAGUUUCAUCUAUUUUUUGCUGCUUCUACUUCGAUUUUCACAUCGGACACGGAGUAGGCAUGAACGUAGAUCUUCCCAAGUGAUUAAUAUCCUUGGAGCUACUUCAUUAGCCAUUUCCCUUUUGACUGUCGUUUUUAUACACCCAACCAAGUUUCUAAUAUAAUUCUUGUGUAAAUAUCUAAUAAUUUGUAUAUAUUGUCUCUAUUUGUAUUAUAAAUAAAACCAUUUCAUAUUUGUGAGACUACAGAAA